UAAAUUCUUUUACCCACCUCU
rnacentral:piRNA from 1 species